AUUGAACGCUGGCGGCAGGCCUAACACAUGCAAGUCGAGCGGGGUUUUUCGGACCUUAGCGGCGGACGGGUGAGUAAUGCGUAGGAAGCUACCCGAUAGAGGGGGUUACCAGUUGGAAACGACUGUUAAUACCCGCAUAAUGUCUACGGACCAAAGUGUGGGACCUUCGGGCCACAUGCUAUCGGAUGCGCCUACGUGGGAUUAGCUAGUUGGUGAGGUAAUGGCUCACCAAGGCGACGAUCUCUAGCUGGUUUGAGAGGAUGAUCAGCCACACUGGAACUGAGACACGGUCCAGACUCCUACGGGAGGCAGCAGUGGGGAAUAUUGGGACAAUGGGCGCAAGCCUGAUCCAGCCAUGCCGCGUGUGUGAAG
rnacentral:rRNA from 1 species